rnacentral:tRNA from 1 species
GCAGUGUAGCAUAGUGGGUAAGGAGCUGGGCUUGUAACCGAAAGGUCACAGGUUCAAUUCCUGGUUGAUACACUGCA